rnacentral:rRNA from 1 species
AUUGAACGCUGGCGGCAUGCCUUACACAUGCAAGUCGAACGGUAACGGGCCUUCGGGUGCCGACGAGUGGCGAACGGGUGAGUAAUACAUCGGAACGUGCCCGAUCGUGGGGGAUAACGAGGCGAAAGCUUUGCUAAUACCGCAUACGAUCUACGGAUGAAAGCAGGGGACCGCAAGGCCUUGCGCGGACGGAGCGGCCGAUGGCAGAUUAGGUAGUUGGUGGGAUAAAAGCUUACCAAGCCGACGAUCUGUAGCUGGUCUGAGAGGAUGAUCAGCCACACUGGGACUGAGACACGGCCCAGGCUCCUACGGGAGGCAGCAGUGGGGAAUUUUGGACAAUGGGCGCAAGCCUGAUCCAGCCAUGCCGCGUGCAGGAUGAAGGCCUUCGGGUUGUAAACUGCUUUUGUACGGAACGAAAAGCCUUCUUUUAAUACAGGAGGGUCAUGACGGUACCGUAAGAAUAAGCACCGGCUAACUACGU